GAUGAACGCUGGCGGCGUGCCUAAUACAUGCAAGUCGAGCGAACAGACGAGGAGCUUGCUCCUCUGACGUUAGCGGCGGACGGGUGAGUAACACGUGGAUAACCUACCUAUAAGACUGGGAUAACUUCGGGAAACCGGAGCUAAUACCGGAUAAUAUAUUGAACCGCAUGGUUCAAUAGUGAAAGACGGUUUUGCUGUCACUUAUAGAUGGAUCCGCGCCGCAUUAGCUAGUUGGUAAGGUAACGGCCUACCAAGGCAACGAUGCGUAGCCGACCUGAGAGGGUGAACGGCCACACUGGAACUGAGACACGGUCCAGACUCCUACGGGAGGCAGCAGUAGGGAAUCUUCCGCAAUGGGCGAAAGCCUGACGGAGCAACGCCGCGUGAGUGAUGAAGGUCUUCGGAUCGUAAAACUCUGUUAUUAGGGAAGAACAAAUGUGUAAGUAACUAUGCACGUCUUGACGGUACCUAAUCAGAAAGCCACGGCUAACUACGUG
rnacentral:rRNA from 1 species